rnacentral:rRNA from 1 species
CGUCGAGCGGCACUUACUAUACAUCGUUUUUAUAAACGGCCAACAUCCUUUUUAGCUGUUGCCAACAUGGUUUUUAACGAUCAAGGUCGUGUUUUGGGUAUGCUAAUAUCGUUUUUUUACACCAUCAAGGUCGUUUUGUGUUUCGGCUACCAUCGUUUGUUUACCGAUAAAGGUCGUUUUAGGUUUACCACCAUCGUUUUUUUUCUAUACAGCAAGGUCGUUUUUUUACUCUACCACCAUCGUUUUUAACUACAACUAAGGUCGUUUUUUGUUUCGGCUACAUCGUUUUUCUUCCCCCACCAAGGGGCGUGUGCUGUUGAGGUGGGGCACCGGCGGCCGCAACAACACCAGCCACCGUCGUUAAGACACCGCCAAACAUCGUGUGCGCCUACGCCCGAGGUCGUUCUUUUAGAGCGUGCGCGUUGGUAAUGGCCCCCGUUUCACUUCCACCGCCGCCUGUACCGGUAACGCUCGAUGCCAGUACCGCCCAACGUUCGAGCGCCGUGGCAUCCUGCGUUUUUUUUCCCUUCUUCUCCCCCCGUUCCCGUCUUUUCCCCCCGGUCCCCACCCGUGGCCGGUGCCGGUGGUGUUUCGUCUUCCCCUCCUCCACUCGGAGCAGCUACGAAGCUACCACCGUCGGUACCGCUUCUUUCCACACCCCUUUUUUGUCUCUUCCCUCUACUACCUAUUCCACACCUACCUAUUCUUCUUCUAGUGCUGCCUACUCGAGCACGACCACCAACGCGGCCACUGCAUGGGCCUUUGGCGCCGCCUGACCGCCUCCUCGACGAGGACCUCGAGCUCGCGCCGCGAGGGUUCGAGAGCACGAGCCCGCCGAGGCCGCUUCGCGCGAGACCACUUCUCCUCGCCGCCCUUCCUCUACCCCCGCUACGCAAGCUACUGCCCCCAGCGGGGGACGAUGACGGGCCCACAACCGCGCCGAGGCCGCUGAGUGUCCCUCCGGUGUCGCUCCUCUACGCGCUCGCCCCUCUCGCGCCUCCGCUGAGAUCGCCUCUCCUCGUCGCCCCUCCGCUGAGAUCGUCUCUCCUCGUCGCCCCUCCGCUACCCCGCACUAAGCCAGCUACUGCCCCCCGUGGGGACGAUGACGGGGCCAACGACGGCGCCGAUGCACUCGCGACGCCAGGCCCGACCCGGUACAACCGGCAGCUGGCUACGGCCUGAACCCGACGAGGCGGCGGUGUGGGCGUCGUCCUGAACCAGACGAGGUGGUGGUGCGGGCGUUGGACCAUCUGCUGCACCGGCUGCGGCUGUGUGGCCGCUCAAAGACCACGCCAACAUCUACCUUCUCUCGUUCACUUAAGACUACGCUGACACUCAAGCUGCCGCUCUUCACUGACACGUCCUCCGAACCACGGAUCGUCGAGAGAGAAGUACGACGAUAGAUGUUGCUGGGCCUUUUUCCGGACAUCCCGGGCCACCCACCCCGCAAGCCCGUCCCCCCAAAAGGAGGGCUUGCUCACGCAAGCCAGCUAGAGGGAGAGCAUCGCUUGCUCAACAAGCCAGGCCCCCAGAGGGUCUGGCUUGCAGUCGCGGUAUAGCCCCAGAUAUUUCCUUUUAUGACCAAACCAAAUCUAAGAAGGUUCGAUGACAUACUAAGCCAAGACAAAAAGGAAAAAAACACGUCGUGGCCAACUCCAAAACACCCUUCCCUUUCCUCCGGACUGAGUACUACUAGUCAGUUAGCCCCUAAGAACCAUUGGGUCCUAUAUAUAUAUUCCUUUUCUCUAUUUGCUAGCCCUAAAGGUAUCAUACACAUGUACACCGGAUCAGAUCCUAAACCACCGACACGUCUUAAACAAGCCCACACAGAUCCCGUGUAGAUCUACACGAGAUUAAUAACGUGUAGAUUCACUCACUUAGUUCAUAUUUCUCUUUUUCUGUUUUCUCUUUCUUUUAUAAGUGUGCUUAGAAUUACAUUCUAGUUACCGUAUACUGAAUCUACACGAAAUCGUUUUGACUUAAGCAUAACCUGUGACCUCAGGUCGUCCAAAUCUAACCUUAAACGCCACCGACACAUACACAUAUAUAUGGUGUGUAUAAACGGUCGGGCUAGUUUUUAGGGUCUGAAGGGGGCGGCGUUUUAUCUUAACCACCACCACGAUACAGAAGGAGAAGGUCGUGUUAAAGGGCCGGGUCGCAACCGGGGCUGCUAGAGCGGCCGUAGGCGAGCUAGCCUCAGCUUGGGCACCAGCGACUUCUACUCGAACUCUUGUGCAGGACCGCUGCCGCGAAACACUUCGACCUCGGCCGGGCGGCACGUGUCCACCGCCCUCGAAACGACAGGGAUAGACGGUACCGCCACGACAGGAACCGGCAAGGGCAACACGAGAACCACUAAAAGGUGCCCGUAGUUUACUGGGGCCAACCGUAGGACCGUUGGCGAGAUACGAGGAUGCAGAAGGAGGAGGUCGAGACGCAGGCCGCCUCGACGAGCAAAAUGCGGCUGAAACCAGCGUAGAGGAUACCGGAAGAGGAGAGGAUGAAGUCACGACCAGUCUAACCGAGCGCGCGGCGGUAACAGUAGGACGUGAACUGGUACCGUACCCGGCGGUGUAUAGAACCGAUGAGAGACCGGAGCGUGGCGAACGCGUACCCGUGGCUCGCCCGGUAGUAGCUGCCGCUCGACGGGGUCGGCACGGUGGUGCCGUUCCUGUCCCGCAUGUACUAGCGGUUAUACUAAGGACAGCGGCGCAAGUAACACUGUGACUAGACCUGGCGAAGGUACCGCCGGUAGUAAAAAUGUUUGCUGUAGUGGCUACUCAAACUGUAACAGAAAGAGGAGAGUAUGCAGCCAACCUAUGUACAACGGCAAACCAAUAGUAUACAACGUCUACAUGGUUACGCAUUUCACGACUACUUUCUCGGUUACCAGAGAGAUGAACGCAGAGAAGAGGGUACGGACUACUAAAGAGGCCACUAGUCGCGACAGACGGCAUAAGACAGUUAGAACAAGGUCACCAACUACUACUCGAAACCAGCGAUAGGAAUCAAUGUCGGAGUCACAAAUACAUGUGAUAAACGACUGACGACGAAGUAUGUCCAUACUUACAAAAUUUCGUUUGAUCGAUUGAGCUAUACAAACCAAUUUGCAAGUUAGAGUCACUGUAAGUUAGCUGAUAAACCCCGUACUUGCAUAUAUACUAGACGUUAAACUUAUGUACAACGUAAACCUACUUAGACAAAAAACAAAAAACACACGACUCAACUCUAGAGGACAUUUGUUAAAGCACAGAUUAAAGAGUCUUUUAAAGUCGUCAGAAACCCUUACAGGUCUCACUUACUAGUCAUUUUACGGUGACAUCGGAGAAAAGAACAAACGAUUUUACGUACAUCAUUUCCGUAUAGAAAACAAGAUUUUAUUUACGGUAACCUUUCCUUUGCUGGGACAAAGUGCAAACUAAUUCGUUCAAAGCCUCGUUCAUUGGAGGGAUUACACAACUACCCAAGUUUGUCGCUUUAGUCACAUUAUUUUACGAAAUCCUUUAAUUACAAUAUAACGAUCUAGACCUUAUACAUUUCUGGCUUAAGAGAAUUACCCCAUUGACCUGAGAUAAAUAUUAACAUAUACGUAGUUGUCGUAGCGUACGUAUAUAGAUUAACCAUUGAGGAUCAAUUCCUUGUAACUAUACAAACCAAUUAACGAGUCAAAACCAAUUUAAGUUAUCUAAUCGAUCCCGUACUCACAUAUAUACUAGACGUUAAAUUUAAGUACACGCAAACCUACUUAGAAAAAAACAACAACACGACUGAACUCUAGAGAAUAUUUGUUAAAUUGACAGCCUUUUAAAGUCGUAUCAGAAACCAUUACAGAUCACACUUCCUAGUCAUUUUUACGGUGACAUCGGAGAAAAGAACAAACCAUUUUACUUACAUCAUUUCCGUAACAUAAAAUAAGAUUUUAUUUAUGGUACCCUUUCCUUAACCGGGACAAAGUGCCAAACAAUUCGUUCAAAACUUCAGUGGCCAGAUUACACAACUACCCGAGAAUUGUCGGUUUAGUCACAUAUUUUACGAAGUCCUUUAAUUUCAAGAUAAGGAUCUAGACCUUACACUUUCUGGUAUAAGAGAAUUACCCACUUGUCCUGAGAUAAAUAUACAUAGUUGUUGUAGACGUGGAGUGUACGUAUAUAGAACAACCAUUGAGUAUCGAUUCAUUGCAACUAGAAAGGACUAAAAAAAAAAAACCGAAGUCCCAUGAGGAACCAUUUGUACUAUUCAGUACACUUCUCUUCAAUUUGUCGUACCUCGUAUACACGCUGGUACUACUCUUAGGUUUCCUCUACUGACGCUGUACAUUGGGACAAUUCCUGUUCCGAGAUUCUUCACGUUGUUCUGUCCCCCGACCUUUAAGUUGUUCUGUACCCGUUCUUCCGUGAUCUAUUGUACCUUCUUGUAGCAACAACCAUCGCAUCAGCGCACGCAAGACACACACGGCCUAUAGAGUCCUAGCCCAAACAUUCUCCCGAUAGAGUAGUAGAACAUAGCAAACUGGCACAUAGAAAAGCCUACAACGAAAUGAAUAUUUCGCCCCGCUUUCGGAUAAAGCUCUCCUCGGUUGCACCUCUCACUUCUUUUCUUCGUGUGAAACCCGUGCUUCUUGUAUUCCUAGCUCAGAAGAGUAAACCCGUGGCGUUCGUGGUUUCCACUCCGGUCCGACAGGGACUGUCCAGACCUGAUGAGAUUGAGAGGGGUAGUGUUACAGUUGUUGUCCUACCUACGGUACGCGAACGUCACUAAACGCGAUAGUAAAACCCACAUCUAUCACGUACUUUGAUUCUACCAAACAAUAGUGAACAUGAAGAAUCUACGAAACCUAGUCACGUUAUUACAUACCACACAGAGCUGCACUAUAAAGUAACUCAGACGAUGACUUCCAUGAACCGCAGGGACGUAAACAACAAAGGGUUUCGUAUCAACUC